rnacentral:rRNA from 1 species
GAUGAACGCUAGCGGCAGGCUUAAUACAUGCAAGUCGUGGGGCAGCGCAGGUAGCAAUACUGGGCGGCGACCGGCAAACGGGUGCGGAACACGUACACAACCUUCCGAGAAGUGGGGAAUAGCCCAGAGAAAUUUGGAUUAAUACCCCGUAACAUAACGAUGUGGCAUCACAUUGUUAUUAUAGCUUCGGCGCUUCUUGAUGGGUGUGCGGCUGAUUAGAUAGUUGGCGGGGUAACGGCCCACCAAGUCUACGAUCAGUAGCUGAUGUGAGAGCAUGAUCAGCCACACGGGCACUGAGACACGGGCCCGACUCCUACGGGAGCAGCAGUAAGGAAUAUUGGUCAAUGGACGCAAGUCUGAACCAGCCAUGCCGCGUGAAGGAUUAAGGUCCUCUGGAUUGUAAACUUCUUUAUCUGGGACGAAAAAAGGCGAUUCUUCGUCACUUGACGGUACCAGAUGAAUAAGCACCGGCUAACUCCGUGCCAGCAGCC